UAGUAGCGGCGAGUGAAGCGGCAAAAGCUCAAAUUUGAAAUCUGGCUCUUUCAGAGUCCGAGUUGUAAUUUGAAGAAGGUAUCUUUGGGUCUGGCUCUUGUCUAUGUUUCUUGGAACAGAACGUCACAGAGGGUGAGAAUCCCGUGCGAUGAGAUGAUCCAGGCCUAUGUAAAGUUCCUUCGAAGAGUCGAGUUGUUUGGGAAUGCAGCUCUAAGUGGGUGGUAAAUUCCAUCUAAAGCUAAAUAUUGGCGAGAGACCGAUAGCGAACAAGUACAGUGAUGGAAAGAUGAAAAGAACUUUGAAAAGAGAGUGAAAAAGUACGUGAAAUUGUUGAAAGGGAAGGGCUUGAGAUCAGACUUGGUAUUUUGUAUGUUACUUCUUCGGGGGUGGCCUCUACAGUUUAUCGGGCCAGCAUCAGUUUGGGCGGUAGGAGAAUUGCGUUGGAAUGUGGCACGGCUUCGGUUGUGUGUUAUAGCCUUCGUCGAUACUGCCAGCCUAGACUGAGGACUGCGGUUUAUACCUAGGAUGUUGGCAUAAUGAUCUUAAGUCGCCCGUCUUGAAACACGGACCAAGGAGUCUAACGUCUAUGCGAGUGUUUGGGUGUAAAACCCGUACGCGUAAUGAAAGUGAACGUAGGUGGGGGCCCGUAUGGGUGCACCAUCGACCGAUCCUGAUGUCUUCGGAUGGAUUUGAGUAAGAGCAUAGCUGUUGGGACCCGAAAGAUGGUGAACUAUGCCUGAAUAGGGUGAAGCCAGAGGAAACUCUGGUGGAGGCUCGUAGCGGUUCUGACGUGCAAAUCGAUCGUCGAAUUUGGGUAUAGG
rnacentral:rRNA from 1 species